AUAUUUAUGUAUCUUUUUUCAGUUGGAUUUCUUAGAAUGUCAACCGAAGGGCCUCUACCGGUAUCCAAGACUGCCGAACCCCGAAAAUAUCCAAUAGUAAUUCAAGUUGAACACUGCACUGGGUGAGGAUAUGGUGCCCGAUUCAGGGACUUCAAACACUCCCUGCUAAGAAAAUUGGGCGCUAAAGGUGUCUACAAAUUCGUCGGACAUAGUGGACGAUCGGGCACCUUCGAAGUUUUUGUGGACAACAAUUUGGUGUUCUCCAAACUGGCUAGCAGGAAGUUCCCAGAAAUCAAUGCUUUGGUGAAAUCUAUUAUGUUCUACGCGGAAACCGGAACCCUGCAUCGUGUGACUGAAACAGAGCCGAAUGCGCCUUGCCUGGUCAUGUAAAUUAAGAAACCCCAUUUGUAAAUCAACCUCGAUUCAUAUCAAAAUAAUGCAACAAUGUCUACUUAGUCCAGUGUCGAACUGCAAUUUACAGCGAAUGACGGCGUCACAAGUAACCAACGCAUUGUGCUAGGUUUGUAAUGCCUGAAGAUUAUGUAAAUUCAUUUCGUCUGUUUUAAGUGAAAUUUUGCAGUUAGAUUAAUUUAAUUCAAAUAUUUAGGUUAUUUUU